rnacentral:rRNA from 1 species
CCUGAUCCCAUCCCGAACUCAGCAGUGAAACGAUGCAUCGCCGAUGGUAGUGUGGGGUUUCCCCAUGUGAGAGUAGGUCAUCGUC